rnacentral:rRNA from 1 species
AGGAGGAGGAGGCCGUUGGCGAUUCGUGUCGCGUAGGAGGGGAGGGCGGGGGGGAGGCGACAGGGUAGGCGGCGUCUUUAGAGACUCUGGGGAGCUGCCAUUAACGCUGGCCUGGCCGCCUCCGCAUGCGGACAAGCGCGGCCACGUCGUCGCCACGGGAUGGCGGCUCCGGGGCUCUGACCCCCGCCCAGGGCGACAUGGGGAGCGGCGGCGCCAGGCGGCAUUUCUUCCCGCUCACCAGCUUGCAAAUCGGGGAUUUACAGUCAUAUCUUGCAGAGCUCACUAUAUUUUUGUGCCCCGAUACCAAGAAGUUCCUUAUAUUCCUUGACAACCGUCCAUGGUUGCUAGAUCAGAAUACAAAACCUGCUCACCUGUGGCAAUUGAUGGUUACCAAGUCAAGAUUUUCUCCUUUCGCGAACACUAGAACUAGGAGAAAGAGAGAUGAAGGUGGACAUAAGCUUGUAUUUUCAGAAUUCCCAACAUCUGCUCCACGUGUGUGGAAUCAAUCAUCCAGAUGGUAUACUCUGAUUGAUGAUACCAUGCGGAAAAAGAAGCUUCAAGUAAAUAAAUUGAAGGAUUCUCGCCUGCUGAAUAGGGAGCUGCAUCGGACAUUAUAUGGUUUUAUUAUUUUUGAGGUAGACUGGGCUGAUGUGCGUGGCAUUAAUUAUUUGAAUGAGCUUCAGACUGAUACAUCAAUGGUGGUCGAAGCUAAAAUAAUGAAGAGAUGGGAAUUCGAUAGUGUCAAUCAAGCUUCAUCUUUAAUCACUUCUUGGUUCUCAGGGAAUUACUCAGAGUGUCAGCUCUUACAAGAUUAUUUAAAUAGCAUCUCUCCUAAAGGUGAUGUUUUUUAUGAUGCCCUAGAUGACUUAACACCUGAAUUAUGGGACACUGAGAGUGUAAAGAGCGACGGUGAUGAUUCUGGAGAUUGUGUUAGGGUGUCGUCAAGUUCCACAAGCUCAUCAUACACCCCACCACCUUGCUCUGGACCUUACAAGAGAAGAAGGAUAACAAGAUCUGAUGCUGGAAGUGAUAUGUCUGAGGAACCAUACUCAGAAUUUGUGACCUCACCAAGAUAUUCAUCAUAUUCAUCUUCAUCAUGUUACAGUGAUAAUGACAGUGGCAAGCCACUGGUGGAGCCUAACACAUACAAGGAUGUGCUGAUCUUGUUCCGAUUCAAUGAUCAUGAUCUGCCGUUCAGACUAAAGGAAGUUAUACUGUCUGAUGUGAGGCUCUUAACAUUACUUGAGUAUGGUCUUCCUUCAUGGGUCAUUUUUCUUCAGUCAUAUCCAGUGUUCUGCAAGAUAUAUCGCCCAUGGAUGUGUCCUCUAGUCAGAGCACUAUACGUCUUGAUGUCAUUGAUUACUGUUCUUAUAGGAUUUUAUGACCUCUACAAGAAUGUACCAAUGUUGAAGGCAACUGCCUCUAGAUUAUUUGGCCCUUUGUUUGAUUGGAUAGAGACAUGGGAAAUGAUCUCAAGGCUUAAGUAUCUCGGAACCAUGCUUUUUCUGAACAAUUUCCAACAGGCUUUUACAUGGUCUCUUAAGAUUGUACGUGCUACUAAGUCUGUUCUUAGUGUAUUGACAAAGCCAAUUAUGGGGCCACUGUUGGAGGUUCUUGAAUUUACCCUGCCACUAUGGAACCUUUGUGCUGAAACAGUUGAAUAUCUCAGUUCAGCUGCAAUGGUAGCGAUGGAAACAUCAUUCAGUGCGGUUAUCAGUACAGUGCAGAUGAUCAUGUGGCCAUUUUGGUUUAUCUUCAGUACGAUGUUUAAUAUAGCCAAUUCAAUCUUGUACCCUGUAAUUUGGUUCGUCGGAGAGAUACUAGCUGCACCUUUCCGACUUGUCGUUGCGCUAGCAAGUUUUGUAGCAGACUUCUUUGAUGAUAUUGUUGAUGUUUUAAGGCAGACCUGGUCAACAUUAAGUUCGUUAUAUCAAGUUGGUUCUGCAUCCAGAGCACCUGCGCUUACAUCUGAAACUUCCAUUUGGGGAUCACUCUGGAAAGAUCUUCUGUACCAGAUUUUCCGUGCAGUCCGGAGCAUUUUGUACGGUUUUGUUGCCUUCUUUUCAACAUGCAAUAGGCAUCGGCUCAGCAUAUACAACCACAUAGAAGUUCUUCUCCGGCGCCUGUCCCGCGCCUUAAAUGGCACGCGACAUACCUCCUCUUGUGAAGGAGCUCAGAAGUAUACUAGUCAAGAUCAUCCUCAAAGGAAAACCAAGACGAGAUGAUUGUGGAGUUACCGGAUUGACAUACCAAGUAAUUAGCUAAUUCAGAGAAACUUUAAAAGGUUGAGACGAGAUAACAGUGGACCUCCACAAGGAAUCAUGUGUACAGGUCUCAUACAGCUUCUAAUGUUUCAUCAAUGAACCCUAAUCGUAAUCGGUGUAUCCCCUCUGUACAGAUAGAGGCAGAGGGCAACAACCAGCGAAGCAAAAGCGGUACAACUGUAAAUGUACAUUAGUCGGAAUCUGUUGUUUGUUUGUCCAUUGUAGUGUAAUGUCAUGUAAUAUAUAUUAGUAGGUUGUACAGUAGAGUAGGUUUGUGCAUAUGCUUCGGCUACUGAACAAGAAUUUUGUAAGUAUAUGAGAGAGUUCGUUACCUUUUUUCAGUGUUAGUGUUAUUAAAAGUUUUCC